rnacentral:rRNA from 1 species
CAGUCGCCGCGGGAAUACGGGGGGUGCAAGCGUUAAUCGGAAUUACUGGGCGUAAAGCGCACGCAGGCGGUUUGUUAAGUCGGAUGUGAAAUCCCCGAGCUCAACUUGGGAACUGCAUUUGAAACUGGCAAGCUAGAGUCUUGUAGAGGGGGGUAGAAUUCCAGGUGUAGCGGUGAAAUGCGUAGAGAUCUGGAGGAAUACCGGUGGCGAAGGCGGCCCCCUGGACAAAGACUGACGCUCAGGUGCGAAAGCGUGGGGAGCAAACAGGAUUAGAUACCCGUGUAGUCCCUGUCUCUUAUAU